AUUGAACGCUGGCGGCAUGCCUUACACAUGCAAGUCGAACGGCAGCAUGGAGAGCUUGCUCUCUGAUGGCGAGUGGCGAACGGGUGAGUAAAGCAUCGGAACGUACCGUGUAAUGGGGGAUAACGUAGCGAAAGUUACGCUAAUACCGCAUACGACCUGAGGGUGAAAGCAGGGGAUCGCAAGACCUUGCGUUAUACGAGCGGCCGAUGUCAGAUUAGCUAGUUGGUGAGGUAAAGGCUCACCAAGGCGACGAUCUGUAGCGGGUCUGAGAGGAUGAUCCGCCACACUGGGACUGAGACACGGCCCAGACUCCUACGGGAGGCAGCAGUGGGGAAUUUUGGACAAUGGGGGCAACCCUGAUCCAGCCAUGCCGCGUGAGUGAAGAAGGCCUUCGGGUUGUAAAGCUCUUUCGGCCGGGAAGAAAUCGCACAGGCUAAUACUCUGUGUGGAUGACGGUACCGGCAUAAGAAGCACCGGCUAACUACGUGCCAGCCGCCGCAGUA
rnacentral:rRNA from 1 species